rnacentral:rRNA from 1 species
AGAGUUUGAUCCUGGCUCAGGAUGAACGCUAGCUACAGGCUUAACACAUGCAAGUCGAGGGGAAACGACAUCGAAAGCUUGCUUUUGAUGGGCGUCGACCGGCGCACGGGUGAGUAACGCGUAUCCAACCCGCCCACCACUUGGGGAUAACCCUGCGAAAGUAAGACUAAUACCCAAUGACGUCUCUAGAAGACAUCUGAAAGAGAUUAAAGAUUUAUCGGUGAUGGAUGGGGAUGCGUCUGAUUAGCUUGUUGGCGGGGUAACGGCCCGCCAAGGCUACGAUCAGUAGGGGUUCUGAGAGGAAGGUCCCCCACAUUGGAACUGAGACACGGUCCAAACUCCUACGGUAGGCA